rnacentral:tRNA from 1 species
GCGAGCGUAGCUCAGAGGCAGAGCGCCCGGCCCACAUCCGGGAGCGCGUAGGUUCGAUCCCUACCGUUCGCACCA